rnacentral:rRNA from 1 species
UACAGAGGUCCCGAGCGUUGUUCGGAUUUAUUGGGCGUAAAGGGUGCGUAGGCGGCGGAGUAAGUUGGGUGUGAAAUCCCGGGGCUCAACCUCGGAAUGGCAUUCAAUACUGCUUCGCUAGAGUACUGGAGAGGAGGCUGGAAUUUACGGUGUAGCAGUGAAAUGCGUAGAUAUCGUAAGGAAGGCCGGUGGCGAAAGCGAGCCUCUGGACAGUUACUGACGCUGAGGCACGAAGGUCAGGGGAGCAAACGGGG